UACGUAGGGUGCAAGCGUUGUCCGGAAUUAUUGGGCGUAAAGAGCUCGUAGGCGGUUUGUCGCGUCUGCUGUGAAAACUCGGGGCUUAACUCCGGGCCUGCAGUGGGUACGGGCAGACUAGAGUGCGGUAGGGGAGACUGGAAUUCCUGGUGUAGCGGUGAAAUGCGCAGAUAUCAGGAGGAACACCGAUGGCGAAGGCAGGUCUCUGGGCCACUACUGACGCUGAGAAGCGUAAGCAUGGGGAGCGAACAGG
rnacentral:rRNA from 1 species